GUCCUUAACCUCCUUAGAGACACGGACACUUCGGAAAGCGUUCUGCGGACAGUUAUCAAGAUGAUGAAUUGCAGUGAACACCAAGACACAAAAGGCUUAAUUUGCUCUUCUUUGUCAAGAUUUCUAAUGCUGAGCUGAGCUAGUUGAUUUGUAUUCCUUUCCUUCUAAUGCAUAUAUUUAUGAGUACUUAAAGUAAAGAAGCAGGCGAUCAGAGAAGGGCUGGAGAGGAAGAGGCAAUAUGAUGAUGGAAGCAGAGAUUGGAGUUUUGUGCUUUGAAGAUAGAGAAAGUGUCCUUAGCCAAAGGAUACAGGCAGCCACUACCAGCUGGAAAGCCAAGGAGAUGGAGUCUGCCCUAGAGUCUCCUGAAGAAACCAGCCCUGCUGACACCUCGGCUUUGACACAGUGGAACAGAUUUCACACUUCUGGCCUCCAGAACAGAAACAGAAUAAAUUUAUGCUGUUUUAAGAACUAUGUUUGCGGUAAUUUGUUACAACUGCAACAGGAAACAAACACAUAAGUAAAAAACACAUUGUGAUUAAGGAGCUCUGUGAGAUUUCCUGAGUCCCAGAGAAAUGUUCCUGUAACAAAACUCUCAGAGUUCAGUGAUUGGGAGCUUGAGUUCACAGACUUAGGAAACAAAUAUCUUCUUUUAGAGAAAUUUUUCAAACAGAACCCGAAGUGAACUCUAGUAUAAUCUUCUAAUGAAUGUUACAGCGUGUUGUUUGUGCUAUUAAAUUCACAUGCAUAUUCUCUCUCUUACCUCUCGCAUCUUUUCUUCCAAUUCUCUCUCUGUCUCUCUCUCUCUUUCUCUUUCUCUCUCUCUCUCUCCCUCUCUCUCUGUCUCUCUCUCUCUCACACACAGAAUCAUAAACUACUUUUCUUCUGAAUCCUCUCUGUAAACGGGCUAAGCAUUUGACUUAAGCACUGUGAUGCCUUCUUUAGAGAGAUUAAGUAGGAUGAUGCAAAUGCUUUGUCAGAUGCUCCCACCAACUGAUUUAUCUUGGGAAAGAUAAAAAUUUAACCUGAACAGAAAUAGAAAUAUUGUCAAUGAGGGUGAAGGUCAAAUAUUUAUGUCUACUUGAAAAAAAUCAAUGUCAGAAGUAACAGUAGUUCUUUUCUUGUACUCUAGCCUGCGUUUCCUUAAAUAUUGUGGCCCCUAGAUAUAUUGAUAGUUGAGAAAAUGCUCUUUUCUUGCUCUGCUUCCCUCAGGAAAAGUUUUUUAAACCCACUUUCUUAGCAGCUAAUCGAUCAUAUCUUGUGUGAAUAAUCAAAAGCCUUGGAAGUUAUGUGUACAUGUCAUGGCUUUCAUGAAGCAAUAGCAGAUGUGUGAGAUGUCUGCAAAACCUGCAGAUGGCAGUUGCGUGAUCUACCUUCAUUGGCAUCAUUCAUAAUAUAAACACGAUUAUAAAGUACUCUGUUUACAUUAUUCUUGAAUACAAUAUUCCCAACAAAAAUAUCUGCAAAAGUCAACACAUUAAACCCAAUGCAGUGCAUUUUUAUUACAAGAAGGCAUUCUUUAAGGAUGACUAAUGUCUCCGAGGAAUAAAAUGGAGAUUAGGCAAGAGUGUGAUUAAAAUGAAGACCCGAGAAAGGUUACAUUCUCUAUGCAUUCAUUCUCCGCAGGGUGCACAACUGCCUAAGAGUAAAACAAAUAAUUUCUCCAGCAGAAAGACUUCCAUUUGAAAUGAAAUGCUUAAAAUAACAAAUUGUGU
rnacentral:lncRNA from 1 species